rnacentral:lncRNA from 1 species
CAUAACCGGGCAAAUACGAAAAAUGCCUCCCAACUCUCUCUACAAUCAGAUCUGACUUCCAAUUCCAAGCGAUUAAGCGAGAGAGCGAGCUAGAGAGUCCGAGAGAGUAGAGAAUCCCUAGGUUCCGUCGCUCGCGUCUCUGAGUAGACGACAUUCGAGAAUGGAGCAUACGAACCUAAAUCAUUUUCAUUGCCUUGUCCGGAACCGGAUCCGGAUCCGAACAAGGCAAUGAUUUAGGGUUUCGGAUGGUGCAAAGAGAAUGGUGAGAUCGUUUGUCUCUGCGUCGACGAUGAAAAUGACAACAAUCCAGGACGUAGCCAUGUCGCGCGGAUCAGGAUCUGUCUCAGAUUACGGUGAGAGUCUGAAUCGAUUAUUUAAACCUUAAUUUUGAGAGCUAGAUUUACACUAGUAGCAAGAAUCCAUUUCAUACCUGUUUGGAGAAAAAGAAAAGGUUCAAUUUCCCCUAUGUAGGCAGUUUUUGACUAUUUUUUUAAUCGGAAUAUUUUGAUUAAGUUAACCUAGUUAUUCUGCUGAUGUAAAAUACAUGAAAUUUUUGUUCAUAUAUAUCUAACUUUGUUUUUACUUUAGCGUCUGUGCUUUAUAUUUAAACACUACUUUUGGAGUUUCAACCAUUGUUAAGUUGAUUGAAAACGAGCAUUCGGUUUUCAAUUUGUGUAUGGAACAUGCACGAAUAACUCCCUAGGGUAUUAUGCGCUUUAGGUUUUCAUUUUAUAAGUUGGACGGUUUUUUAGUUCUAUAUUGUUUAGGGCUUAAGAGUUAUAUUAUGGAUUACUUUUUAAGUCUCUGUAGAUUCCAUUAUGGAGCUCGCCUCAUAUGAUGUGGUGGUUUGCUGGCCUUCUGGUCAAUGAUGCUUAUAAUGCAUAAAGUCUCACAUUUUGAUGUCUAGUCAUGCAUCCAAGCAGGUUAUCUUACCUGACGGUCAUGCAUCCAAUUUUAGCACACCCAUUCUCUUUCCCACACCUUACUUGGACAGGAUCUGUUCUAUUGUAAUCGUACCUCUGNNNNNNNNNNUGUGCGUGUGUGUGUAUAUACGAAUCAUUAGUGGCUGGCAUUUUUACAUUUUUGUGCACAAAAUUGAUUUGGUAAUGAGAAAAGCCCGUUAUAUUCUUGGCAGACUUCAGUUUUCCCCCCUUUUUUCUUUGUGGUUCUUAUUCCUUAUUGAUGAAUGUGCAGGUCAUACUUUUAACUGAGCUCGCUCAGCCUCAUUGACAUUCGAGUUUGGUUAUGGGAUGUUACAUUUUACGGAUGGGUUUCCUUCAAACAGUGUAGCAGUUGCUUAACCUUGUUUCACAGGUUUCUUUCCUGCCUCUAUAAUGCAUUCAUUCUUCCUUUUCAUCUUGCUCCUACUAAAGUUUCCUGUUUAAUAAAAAUAAAAAAAAAAAACCUUUUUUUUUUUUUUUUUUUUCAAAUUGUGAAGCAUGAAAGUGAUAUCAUUUGGUUUUACAUGACUUGACUUUUCUUUGGGUUCGCUAUCCAAGUGUGUUUUACUUUGUUCUACAUCGACUUACUUCUUUCUCUCUGGCCUUGCAGGCGUUUUUCAAAUUUCCGUCAUUGUUUGCAGUUUUUUUCCCGCGUUGCAUGGUCUCCGUGUGUGUGUGUGUGUGUGUGUCUCUCUCUCUCUCUCUCAUUUCUCAUCUGUCUCCUCAGAUCUCCUUUCAUAUGUUUCGGUUUAGGCGGUGGGAAAAUGAAGGCAAAGGAUGAAAGUCAAAUGGGAAAAAGAGGAUUGGAGUUGAAGCACGGCUGGCAUGGUUUUUUCAAGUGUUUUUAAUGUCUUUUUUGUUUAGUUUGUUAUAAUUCUAUGAUUAAGUUUUUUUUUUUUUUUUUUUUUUUUCAAUUUGCAGUCGAUAUUUUAAUCUCUGUUAAUAUGGAAAUGUCAUUACAUGUUAGGAGAUAAACAUUGGAUGACUGAAUGGUCGGCCCCAUAAUUCUCAGUAGGUCCGGUAAGUCCCAGUAGGUCCGAUUCCGUGUUGCAGUAUCAUCAAAUUUUCUCUAGUAUGUUGGUGGCGGAUCCAUUCACCUUUACGAACUCAUUAUUUUAAAAAUUG